CCCCCCCCCCCCCCCCCUCACCCCACCACCACCCAACCCCCUUUUCUUUCUUUUCCCCCUUGACUUUGAUGUUUAAUCUUAAUUUUUAUAUGCUUCCUCAGUAGCUCAUGGUGGCGAGUAUGUUUGUCUGAGUGAGAUCAUGUGGGAUGGCAGGAUCUGCCUUUCUAGCCUGUGCCUGAUCGCCAGUGCUUGUCUUAAUGUUACGAAUUUUGAUUUCUACCAUUGCAAAGUGGCUUGUUUGGCAUGCAUCUCGGGAGCAGAAUGUUUCUUGCUAAUAGUUUGCAUGAAUUGUUCUGCAGGCCUCUUCAUUUUUAUCUAUCUUU
rnacentral:misc_RNA from 1 species